UUGAACGCUGGCGGCAGGCCUAACACAUGCAAGUCGAACGGUAACAGGAAGCAGCUUGCUGCUUCGCUGACGAGUGGCGGACGGGUGAGUAAUGUCUGGGAAGCUGCCUGAUGGAGGGGGAUAACUACUGGAAACGGUAGCUAAUACCGCAUAAUGUCGCAAGACCAAAGAGGGGGACCUUCGGGCCUCUUGCCAUCGGAUGUGCCCAGAUGGGAUUAGCUUGUUGGUGGGGUAACGGCUCGCCAAGGCGACGAUCCCUAGCUGGUCUGAGAGGAUGACCAGCCACACUGGGACUGAGACACGGUCCAGACUCCUACGGGAGGCAGCAGUGGGGAAUAUUGCACAAUGGGCGCAAGCCUGAUGCAGCCAUGCCGCGUGUAUGAAGAAGGCCUUCGGGUUGUAAAGUACUUUCAGCGGGGAGGAAGGGAGUAAAGUUAAUACCUUUGCUCAUUGACGUUACCCGCAGAAGAAGCACCGGCUAACUCCGUG
rnacentral:rRNA from 1 species